GGGCGCAAGCCUGAUGCAGCGACGCCGCGUGGGGGAUGACGGCCUUCGGGUUGUAAACCUCUUUCGACAGGGACGAAGCUUUUGUGACGGUACCUGUAUAAGAAGCACCGGCUAACUACGUGCCAGCAGCCGCGGUAAUA
rnacentral:rRNA from 1 species